UAGGGAAUCUUCCGCAAUGGACGAAAGUCUGACGGAGCAACGCCGCGUGAGUGAAGAAGGAUUUCGGUUCGUAAAACUCUGUUGUUAGGGAAGAAAAAAUGUAUAGUAACUAUAUACAAAAGAGACGGUACCUAACCAGAAAGCCACGGCUAACUACGUGCCAGCAGCCGCGGUAAUACGUAGGUGGCAAGCGUUGUCCGGAAUUAUUGGGCGUAAAGCGCGCGCAGGUGGUUUAGAAAGUCUGAUGUGAAAGCCCACGGCUCAACCGUGGAGGGUCAUUGGAAACUAAUAAACUUGAGUGCAGGAGAGAAAAGUGGAAUUCCUAGUGUAGCGGUGAAAUGCGUAGAGAUUAGGAGGAACACCGGUGGCGAAAGCGGCCUUUUGGCCUGCAACUGACACUGAGGCGCGAAAGCGUGGGGAGCAAACAGG
rnacentral:rRNA from 1 species